AGCUACGUAGCUCAGCUGGUUAGAGCACAGCAUUCAUAAUGCUGGGGUCGGUGGUUCAAGUCCACCCGUAGCUACCA
rnacentral:tRNA from 2 species